rnacentral:rRNA from 1 species
GCGAGCGUUGUCCGGAAUUAUUGGGCGUAAAGAGCUCGUAGGCGGUCUGUCGCGUCGAUCGUGAAAACUUGGGGCUUAACCCUGAGCUUGCGGUCGAUACGGGCAUGACUGGAGUUCGGCAGGGGAGACUGGAAUUCCUGGUGUAGCGGUGAAAUGCGCAGAUAUCAGGAGGAACACCGGUGGCGAAGGCGGGUCUCUGGGCCGAUACCGACGCUGAGGCGCGAAAGCCAGGGGAGCGAACGGG